rnacentral:rRNA from 1 species
AGCGAACGCUGGCGGCAGGCCUAACACAUGCAAGUCGAGCGGCCGUAGCAAUACGGCAGCGGCAGACGGGAGAGUAACACGUGGGAACGCGCCCUUCGGUUCGGGAUAACUCAGGGAAACUUGGGCUAAUACCGGAUACGCCCUUACGGGGAAAGAUUUAUUGCCGAAGGAACGGCCCGCGUCCGAUUAGCUUGUUGGUGAGGUAACGGCUCACCAAGGCGACGAUCGGUAGCUGGUCUGAGAGGAUGACCAGCCUCACUGGGACUGAGACACGGCCCAGACUCCUACGGGAGGCAGCAGUGGGGAAUAUUGGACAAUGGGCGCAAGCCUGAUCCAGCCAUGCCGCGUGGGUGAUGAAGGCCCUAGGGUUGUAAAGCCCUUUCAGCGGGGAAGAUAAUGACGGUACCCGCAGAAGAAGCCCCGGCUAACUUCGUGCCAGCCGCCGCAGUAAGAC